GCAACUUUAGCUCAGUUGGGAGAGCGUCAGACUGAAGUCAAACUUCAUCAAAGGAAUCUUGUCCCAAGGUCCAUCUGAAGGUCGCUUGUUCGAUCCAGGCAAGUUGCA